rnacentral:tRNA from 1 species
GCCGGCCAGCGCGGCGGCGGUCAGCGCGGCGGCGGUGGAGGCGGCGGCGAGCGCCGGUCCGACACCGGCGGCGAGCA